UCUUCAUCAGAUCCGGGUUGUUGCCACUCGAUAUUCUUGCACAUUUUUCCACAAUUAUAAUUUAAAGUUUGUUUAAUAUUCAGGCAAACACUGCAGUCUACUAUAACAUUUUGACCAAUAGAACGCUAAGAUUUCGAGGGAGGGCCGUCGUUAGCCUAUCGGAUUUAGCUACUGAGCACAGCUGUUCAACGGAGGAAUCGGCAGAUGGACACGACGGAGAGAAGAGUCAUCACACACACCACUGCCUACUCAAAGGAUGAAGCCAUAUGGGCCUAGUCUUCUUCAAAAGGCCCAUUAUCACAAUUUGUGCAUUGACACAGGUUUGUACAUGGCAGCUCAUGCAGUUUACAUGUGCAUCUGCCCUUAACACAGUUGGUUUUUUUACAGGCACAAUGCACAAGCUCCAGUAUCGCCUCUGGUGCUGGGGGGAGUGUCAUCCAUUCCACCUCAUACAAAUCUCUUGCCAUCUUCCAGCCAUGACUUAUGGGAGGAGGAAUGUCUGGCCUACACUCAAGGCUCCUCCUGUGUAUUGCUGCCUGAAAGUUUGCCCGCUUGAUGUGUUGGUACAAGGAGUCUUUGUUUGGAGAGCACUCACAGUGUCGCAACCAGAGAAGGCAUGCAGACCAACAAGGGCUUCACAUUUGUCUUUGCCAAGAUGGGCAUGAAGGCUGUUAAUGUCAACAAUGUGUGGGUUUCUCUCUUUGGCUGUGUGGAAGUACAGGUGACCAUCAAUGUGGCUGCAGAAUGCAAGUGCCAACACAAAGACAUCAGUGUCCGGGCUCUUGAUCACCAGGUCAGUGCUGUAUUUUGCUGCACAAACUGCAUGCAGCAUAAGUCUGGUGUCUGCUUCCUCUUGAGUUGUCUCAAGGUCUCGAACCUCUGUUACUUCAAGAUGUGCUCCAGUGUUGGAAGAAAUACUCCAGCAAGUUUUCUUUAUUUUGCCCACAUGCCAGGAAUUUUUUCCACUGCUUUGGUGUUUUUUGGUCAUCUCCAUAUAUUUUGAUUUUUUGACAACCCUCUUCUGCCCUCCUACUUCGCUCAGCAUUUUUGAUGCUUUGGAUUCUGUAUGUGUCGCAUACAAAAUGAAGCUCUGUGGACUUGGUUCCUUUAGCUGAGUUAACUAAUGUCCUCAGUACAUGGUCAGCAUAUAGGCCAAAUGUUGGUUGUGGCUUUAGCUGUUGCACUAGUGCCAUAGCAUCCCAAAUCCAAACUGAACCAUCUGGAAUGUUCUUCUCUGAUGCAGGUGGUCUGAUCUCCUCCUCCAAGAUGUGCAUCAGCUUGGCUUUGUUGGUUUUUACCAGAGAGCCAUCAAAGUUGGCCAGUGACUGUGGCAAAGGACCCAGACUGUAAGUGAGCAUUUCAUCUAUGUUAAUUUGUCUAACAUUGCCCACAACAAUUAACCUGGCAAACAAGUUGCGGUGAGAUGUCAAAGUGAUUUCUUUUCCUCUAACUUUUGUGACUGUACUGUGGCCAGUGUCUUUGAAUGUUUUGAUUUUCAUUUUCUUGAUCGGGUCGUGGAAUGAUGCCUCUGCCUUGACAAUCCUUUUUUCACAGAAGUCUGUGAGAGCCUUAACACCACUUUGUUUUGCCCCCAGUAAGUCUUCAGCAACAUUAUCGGAUGCCUGUUGACCAGAGGAGAUUUGAUAAAGAGACUGUCCAUUCAGCGAAGGGUCGAAGGGAUUGACCAUAUUUUGGAUAGUGGUGAUAAUAUUCAACACAUCAGCCUCAUCUCUCUGCAGUCUCGUGGUGUCCAGCUCAGAGUUUAGAUGCAAUACUGGGCACUGUCCAGCCAUUGAUUUACAUUCAAGUGUGAUGGCUGCCCGCUCAUGUUGUGUUAAGGUCCAUCUGUGAACUGCACCCUUGUUUAGAGAGAACCCACUGAUGCCUCCCUUUGUCUUUGAAUCGCGAUUGGCUGUUUGUUCAAUGACUUGAUCACAUGCAGUGCCGGCAAAACCAUGUUUCUGAUGCCUUUGUGCCACAAAGUCACCUGAAAGAAGCUGCUGGUGUGCUGAAGGAUGUGUGUCUUCCAGAUUGGUCAUCUCAACCCAAUAUGCUGUGAGAUAUCUGGCAUAAUUGACUUUAUCACAUGCAAAAAACCAUGGCAGCAUACACUGCACAGUUGACAAAUGGAGAGCCCAGUUUCCCUCUCGGGUUGCCCUGAUGAAGAGAAGCAAGUUUUCCACCAUUUCAAUGUAUGUGCUCCAAAAUGUGAAGGUCUGGUUGGAGUUGUUUUUUUCCACAAAAACUUCGUAGCUUUUCAGCAACUGCAGAAAUACAUCAGAUGUAAGCAUGGCAUUGAACUCUUCACUUGGAAAGGUCUUUUGCAAAUCCGUUGCAACUUUUAAAGCUGCUGCAUGGUCCUCUUGUGUGAGAGUGCCCAGGUAUGCCUGCCAGCGCAAUCUCUGCAGUGCUUCCAUCAGGAGCUUGUGGGCCCGUAUGCUCCUGUUGUAGUGAUGGCCUGAGAGAACUCCAUCAAUAGAACCUGCAGCCACAACUUCAGAUUCAAUCAAGACAUCCUGUAAGCCUGCAUCAGCAAAAAGCUUCCCAAUACAGGAAAGAUAUGCCAUAGCUGUGUGAAACUCUCCCAUCCUUAUUACAAGUCUCUCUGAGAAAGUGCUUGUCUGCCAACGUAUCUCUUGGGCCUUAGCAUAUAUGGCUUGAUCCAUAACUAUCACUAUUUCUUUUUGUUUCAGAUUGUCAGCAAUAGCAGUAGAGCGGCUCAGGAUGGUGUGGACAGUGUUGAGAUCUGUUGGGCUAGCAUCAAUGACAGGUGAGCAAGGGCUGUAUCAUGCUCAAGAACCUGGGAGUUAGAUGAGCAGUGGCCAAGACCAUUCAACAACCCUAUGAGCUGUGCUGAGCCUGUCAUAUGCCGAACUGCCAUUGCAAGAGAGCACUGUUUUGGCAUGAGCCACCGUCCUUUGGUCGCCAAGAUGAUGUCCCUCAGGGUGACCGCUGCAUGAUAUAAAAGACGAGACCUAUCUGUCGUGAUGGUGGCAUUAUCAGGCUGUCUUUGAGUCAUCAGUGAUGUUUCUCCUUCACUGUCUUCAGAUGAGGAGGAAGAGGAGGAAGUGGCAACUUCAUGAAUGAUCUCCUCAGCUGUCAGAUCAUCAACAUACACAAGAUAUGUUGUAGAUGCCUUUUGAAAUCUCAAGAAAGGAUGUGACUUUUGAAGUCUUGCCUUGAGUACCGUGUGUAGUCUCUGAAACAGGAGAAGUGGUAUCGUGCCUCACUAGCCACUAGGUCCCUGUCACGAAUGUGUAGAAGCAGACUCUCAUCCUGUCUUUCUUCAGCAGCAAGAAGUAACUUCCCUGCAUGUUAACUGCAGCUAGAUGGGCAAAUGACUCCCUCCUGUGAUGGAAUCAAGUGGAUUCAGCGUUCAAGAUUCAGAUUUGAAGUUCAAGAUCCACAUUUACAGUUUCACACUGCAUGUUUGAUACCAACCUUCUGUUCCCUUUUCCUUUUGAAUUAAAGCUUCCUUUUCUCUUCUCU